GACGAACCGAGCGAACGUUAUUCGGAAUCACUGGGCUUAAAGAGCGCGCAGGCGGUCGUUCAAGUCGCGUGUGAAAGCCCCCGGCUCAACUGGGGAGGGUCACGCGAUACUGAUCGACUCGAAGGCAGGAGAGGGAAGUGGAAUUCCCGGUGUAGUGGUGAAAUGCGUAGAUAUCGGGAGGAACACCAGUGGCGAAGGCGACUUCCUGGCCUGUUCUUGACGCUGAGGCGCGAAAGCUAGGGGAGCAAACGGG
rnacentral:rRNA from 1 species